rnacentral:tRNA from 1 species
UCCGGUGUGGUCUAGUGGCUAGGAUAUUUGGCUUUCACCCAGAAGGCCCUGGUUCGAUUCCCGGCGUCGGAA